rnacentral:tRNA from 1 species
GUGAGUGGCGAAAUUGGCAGACGCACUAGAUUUAGGUUCUAGCGCCCAUGGCGUGUGGGUUCAAGUCCCACCUUCCGCACCA